rnacentral:rRNA from 1 species
UGCAAGUCACGGGGGCCCGCAAGGGUAACCGGCGAACGGGUGCGUAACACGUGAGCAAGCUUCCGAUUUGUGGGGGAUAGCCGGCCCAACGGCCGGGUAAUACCGCAUACGUUCACCGAGCGGCAUCGCUUGGUGAGGAAACCUCCGGGGCAAAUCGAGGUGCUCGCGGCCUAUCAGCUAGUUGGUGAGGUAAUGGCUCACCAAGGCGACGACGGGUAGCUGGUCUGAGAGGAUGGCCAGCCACAUUGGGACUGCGACACGGCCCAGACUCCUACGGGAGGCAGCAGUGGGGAAUAUUGCGCAAUGGACGAAAGUCUGACGCAGCGACGCCGCGUGUGGGAUGAAGCCUUUCGGGGCGUAAACCACUGUUGCCCGGGACGAACCUCCCCAUUCGUGGGGACUGACGGUACCGGGUGAGGAAGCACCGGCUAACUCUGUGCCAGCAGCCGCGGUAAUACAGAGGGUGCGAGCGUUGUCCGGAAUCACUGGGCGUAAAGGGCGCGUAGGUGGCUUGGUAAGCGUGUGGUGAAAGUCCGGGGCUCAACCCCGGAUCUGCCGUGCGAACUGCCGAGCUUGAGCGAUGUAGAGGCAGGUGGAAUUUCGGGUGUAGCGGUGGAAUGCGUAGAGAUCCGAAAGAACACCAGUGGCGAAGGCGGCCUGCUGGGCAUUUGCUGACACUGAGGCGCGACAGCGUGGGGAG